UACGUAGGGGGCUAGCGUUGUCCGGAAUCAUUGGGCGUAAAGAGCGUGUAGGCGGCCCGGUAAGUCCGCUGUGAAAGUCGGGGGCUCAACCCUCGAAUGCCGGUGGAAACUGUCGGGCUCGAGUGCGGAAGAGGAGACUGGAAUUCCUGGUGUAGCGGUGAAAUGCGCAGAUAUCGGGAAGAACACCCGUGGCGAAGGCGGCUCUCUGGGACGGUACUGACGCUGAGACGCGAAAGCGUGGGGAGCAAACAGG
rnacentral:rRNA from 1 species